GCAAAAAACAGAGCUCAGGAAUAGCAUCAGUGAUUUAGAGAUUAAACUUGAAAAGAAACAAAGAAUAGCAAUAUUGGAAGAAGCAAUAAAAAAGGACAAGAAAUUACUUUUGGAAAUUUCUGUGACCAGUGGUUCUCCAGUCAAGUUAAAUGGCGAUGUUGUUACUAAACAUCUCAACCUUUUUAAAGACUGUUUGGACUCUGCAACGUCGGAUGUUCCAUUUAUUAAUAUCAUGAUGAUUGGCGAAACCGGCGCAGGGAAAUCUUCUUUUUUCAAUACCGUUGCAACAGCUUUAGAAGACAGCAGUAUUAUAAAAGACACGUACAGAGUAGGAAGUGCAGAAAGCAGAGAGAUGAGUGUUACAAAA